ensembl:lncRNA
AGAGAGAGAGGGAGAGUCAGAGACAGAUAGAGACAGGCAGUGAGAGCGAGGUAGAGAGAUGACUUACCUUACCUUUUAAACGACAUUAUCCGACACUGUCUGAUCGAAGUGUAUCCGCGCAGUGGUGACACUUCAUUGAAACUUUAUCGGAGUGCCAACGAUAGCCUUCAAUGUCUGACUGGACUGAAGUGAAGCGACCGAAUGCCGUCUUUUUCCGGGUUGGACACUUGGUGAUUAGAAUAAACCGCCCCGGAUGUGAGCUGAGCCCCCGGACCUCGUCCUCCUCCUCCACUCCGCCGUCCCUCUGCGACAGAAGAGGAAUCCUCUCCCUUCGUUUGUUCGGGUUAUUGAACCGCGAUGUGGACGUUCGCGUUGAACCGAUUCAAACACACCGUUUAGCGGCGGGUUCAGAAUGAUGCACUCACGCACAUGCACACGCGUGCACACGCACAGACACACGCACGCACACACACACACACACACACACACACACACGCACGCACGCACGCACGCACGCAGACAAAUACACCCACACGCAGACAAAUACACACAUGCAGACAAUUAUCGCAUGGGGAGGCGGAUAUAUUAUCACACACUUGUCAUAGAUGUGACAGGCGUUGACAGAGUCACUAUUACACUGCGAAAUGACGAAGAGAGGAACGGAGUAGGACAGACUUGUAGUCCACACAGGCCUAAUACUGCGUCAACAGUGAUACAGUGAAAAACGAUUUUUAAAUUUUUUGACUGUCCGGAAUAUGUUGCAAGUAGAUAAGUGGACACACUUUUAAUCAACAAUGAUUCACGAGAUGCACCAACCAGCCCCACCUCUAAGGUGGAGCCACCGGCAGGCGGAGCAGGUGGUGGUAGAUUAACAACCAGAGCCGCGUGCCUCUGCAGAGUCUCUGCGUGAAGAGGAAGUGGUCGGAGGUCGGCCGCCGCGGGAGUAGAACUAGUGACCUCACAUCCUGUGGCAGACCUGCAACAGGAAGUCAAGAAGUUUCCACACAGACCAGCACUCCUGAAGACAUGCUUCUGACUGGGUGUUGGCAUUGGGUGCUUGGGGAGGGGUGUGUGAGGCCCAGGCACCCAUACCCCCCCCCCUCACCCCCUGCACCCACUGCUGUAGAGACACCCCCACUUCAGUCUCCACCGCUAUGCAAACGAGUGUGGUAAUAUUUAGCUCAUCCUUCACACAGUUGUGCACAAAAUAAGGCAUGCAGGUGUGUGUGUGUGUGUGUGUGUGUGUGUGUGUGUGUGUGUGUGUGUGUGUGUGUGUGUGUGUGUGUGUG